AUUGGGUAAUGAACACGUGUUGCCUUAUCCCAUUUUGAUAUUUUUUGUUGGGAUAUGAUGUUGGGUUUCAUUCUCCGCUGCGGCGAAAAUGGCUUCCUCAGUGUCAGUGUGGUUCUCUCCCAACGCGCUCGCUCGCCCCAACACACGCAAUCGCAAUCGGAAUAAAAUCUCUAACCCUAAAUUCAAGAACCCCGUUCUCUCCGGCGGCGAAGCCACCACCUACACUCGUCUCCCGCUCAAGCACGAUUAUUCAUCUCCCUCUCCUCUUUCCUCUUCCGAAAUCAAGCUCUCCGAUUCAGCCCCACCCAUUAAACACGAACAGCAGCAACAACAACUUGUUUUCGACGACAAUGCGGGAUCUGAAAGCGACGCCGAAUACGAAACCUUUGAAUCUUCGGACUUCGAUGAAGAAGAAGAGUCUUUGAAUUCUCCGAACACCGAGGGGGAGGUGAAGGAGAAGGGGGUGCCGGCGGUGAUGCGGUGUUUCGACCGUGCGAAGAUAUACGUGAAGACCGGCGACGGGGGGAACGGCGUGGUGGCUUUCCGGCGGGAGAAGUACGUGCCGUUGGGGGGGCCGUCGGGGGGCGACGGAGGGAGAGGUGGUGACGUGUAUGUUGAAGUUGAUGGGUCAAUGAACUCGCUUUUGCCGUUUCGGAAUAGCGUGCAUUUCCGGGCAGAGAGGGGGUCACACGGGCAGGGGAGUUUGCAGAGUGGGGCAAAGGGAGAAGAUGUGGUGGUGAAGGUGCCUCCUGGAACAAUCAUUCGUGAGGCUUCUCAGGACAAUGUGCUAUUGGAGAUGGUGUUUCCUGGACAGAGAGCAUUGCUUUUGCCCGGUGGUCGAGGUGGCAGAGGGAAUGCUUCCUUCAAGUCUGGGACUAAUAAGGUUCCAAAGAUUGCUGAGAAUGGCGAACAGGGUCCUGAAAUGUGGUUGGAGUUGGAGCUCAAGCUGGUUGCGGAUGUUGGUAUUGUUGGGGCUCCGAAUGCGGGGAAAAGUACGCUUUUGAGUGUCGUUAGUGCUGCGAAGCCAGCGGUGGCUAAUUAUCCCUUUACGACACUGCUUCCCAAUCUCGGUGUUGUUUCCUUUGACUAUGAUUCAACCAUGGUGGUGGCAGACCUUCCAGGUCUACUUGAAGGGGCACACCGGGGUUUUGGUUUAGGUCAUGAGUUUCUACGGCACACUGAAAGAUGUUCUGCCCUGGUACAUGUUGUUGAUGGUUCAUCACUACAGCCGGAUCUUGAGUUUGAUGCAGUUCGUCUAGAGCUCAAGCUGUUUAAUCCUGAACUUUCUGAGAAGCCUUAUAUAGUUGCUUAUAACAAAAUGGAUCUUCCAGAAGCAUAUGAAAAUUGGGAAUCCUUCAAAGAAAAGUUGCAAUCUCGUGGGAUCACACCCUUUUGUAUGAGUGCUGUCAAAAAGGAAGGUACUCAUGAAGUUAUCUGUGCUGCUUACGAGCUGUUGCGUAAAAGUAAAGAAGACAGGGAGGAAUUUGAAGUUGGAAGAGAUAUGGUAAACUUGAACCAUGUAGCUGAUGCAGUACAGAAGCAACGGAAUGCAUCCAUUAGUGAUUUUGAGAUUUUUCAUGACAGCAAUUCAAAUAUCUGGCAUGUUGUUGGGUCUGGAUUGCAACGAUUUAUACAGAUGACAAAUUGGCGGUACAUUGAUUCAGAGAUAAGAUUCCAACAUGUUCUUGAAGCUUGUGGUGUGUAUAAGUCUCUCAUGAAACUUGGUGUAAAGGAAGGGGACACAGUAAUUGUUGGAGAGAUGAAGAUGGUAUGGCACGAUUCCUAUGACAAUGCUGGUGCAUCUAGGAUGAAGAAAAUGUCCACAGAUUCAAUUAAAUGGCCUGAAUGGAAGUAAUGCCUCUCAGUUUCAGUGUCAUGCAUACUGCAACUGUGCAUAGGAAGCAAAUUCAAUCAUAAUGAGGUGUUAUAGAAGAGGAUAGAAGUCAUGAGAAGCUGCCUCAAAAAGAACAAGGUAUUGCAUGCGAUUACAUGAUUGUCCUGUGAUGGCAUGAUGCUGGGUGCAUUUAUAAUUUCAAAUUCUUCUAUGUGAAUAGAAGCGGUGUCUUCUUCAACAGCUCAUGGCUGAGUUAGACCGCUCUCAUGUGGAUUGGAUAAUUUGAUGGAAUUGAAGUGAAGCUCAAAUCUCAAGUUUCACGGGAUGUCAUCAUAAAAGCGACUGGGUUGAGAUUGUUAUAUUUUUUCUAUAAUGUAUUUGUAGCUCGUUUUACUUGUUAAUUAUAACUAUAAUAUGCUUGAGAUAUGAUCCUUACAUUAUAGAGAAGAAAGAUGUUAAUAAUUGUAGGUGAAAAAUAGACCGGGAUCCUCUCAUGUUAUUUUAUGUUAUUUUUCGCUUAAACGAAAAUACAAAAAUACGGAACAUGACCCUCAUACAUGAGGGAAUUUUUUCCGUGAAAAAUCUGUGAACCACAGUAGACAUCCUGUUUUUUGGGGUGUGAUAGGCUCCUUUUUCUUUCUGCAAUGCACAAGUGUGCUAAACAAUCCCCUUUCCGACACGUAAUUAUCAAUGUCUAUAGGUCACAUCAUAAGCUUAUAGGGCUAGCCCAUCGCAUGGUUCAUGUUUAUCAUUUGUCAGAAACCUAUGUGUAAUGACUUUGAAGUGGUUCUAUUUUUACCCCUAAUCUAUGUUCACUUUAUAGAUGCAAUUACCUUAGUAUCUUAACGUUCCCUGAGAUAGUAGUGUUUUAAUUUUUACAUUUGUUGUUGAUUCACAAUGUUUUGACUUUCCUGACUAGUGUGGUUUGUAAAUCUGAAGAGCUACUGUUGAAGCUGAACUAUAUUUUUGUGUUACCAGAAUUUCCAAACAGGAUACUUGAAUCACGGUAAAAUUGGUACCAAAACUAAGAUGAUGAUCUUCCCGGGAUUGAGUUUGCAAUGGAAUGAUAGCUGAGAAGGACCAGUUUCUCAGUCCUCCCCUGUCUUCAGCAUGCCCGUGCAAUCUUAUUCGAUUUGGCAAAGUAAUAAUAAUGGAAAUGACAAGUAGACGUACAAAAAAUCUUACAUUCCUCAUAUAUGUUAAUUUGGAAAAGUCACCAUCAAACGAGAGGUAAAAUUGGACGAUUUAUGAAAGGUGGUAAAAAAGAGUGUCAUAUGUGCCUCAACUUCGUAGAUUAUCUAAGUUGCUUAUGUGAUAUUGUUUUAAUAUCUACUUAUGUGACUCAUAAAAAAAGCAAGUUAAAUUUUUUUUUUGUGAGAAUAAGAAUUUCUUUAUUUUU